CUACACCCGCUUCACCCGCUUAACGACACGAAUCAGCGUCCUCCGCGCAGGGACCCGGAGCUGGCUGGAGGCGUCCGCAGAAGACCCGCGCCGGGGCCGAGGGCCGCGUGGGGGCCGCAGACUUGCAGGGAGCGCAGCCCCAGGCAGCAGACUGUGGCUUCCAGAACCGACUGUGCCCGAGGAUAAGGCCUGAACUUCAACAACCUGCAAGUGGGUUGAGCAACCCGUUUCACCGUUGAGGAGACAGAGCGCUGGCCCAGCCUGGACCCGGAGCUGAGGUUCCUGUUUCCUGGCUCACCUGGAGGCUCCUGCAGUUGGCCAGAUGAGACCCUGACGUGGAAACAAAUCUCUCGGGCACAGGCACACUUCAGGGCUUUAAAGAGGUGCAUUCACCUGUUGAAGAUGGUGGUCCAGGCAGGAAAAGAGCAGGGGCUGCUGCUGACUUGUUCCCCAGGAGCACAGGAGAGGAGGCUUCGAGACCCACAUGUGUCCUGUGGCUGCUCCACCCACACCGGGGUCUGACCCCAGCGGAUCAGCAGAGAGAGCGGCCCAGAGCAGGAGGCCCAGCCCAGGGCAGCUGGGGUCUGCAGGGCUCCCCUCCAGAGGCCGCACCUCAGACCUUGGCAGCAGCCCCCAGCUCUGUGGAUCCUCCAGGAGAUUUUCCCAAGCUCCAGCCCCAACCCUUUAAUUCACACUGGGAAGAGCCUCAAAGAACCCGGCAGGGACGGAGCUCCCCCGACCCUCUGGGCAAAGAUCAACUUGGUUAAAAGGGCCUCCAGCUGAAACCCAUCUCCUGGGGAAAUGUAUUAAAACAGAAACUCUG
rnacentral:lncRNA from 1 species